CUGAUAGGGUGGACGGCCACAUUGGGACUGAUACACGGCCCAUACUCCUACGGGAGGCAGCAGUGGGGAAUAUUGCACAAUGGGGGAAACCCUGAUGCAGCGACGCCGCGUGAGCGAAGAAGUAUUUCGGUAUGUAAAGCUCUAUCAGCAGGGAAGAAAAUGACGUACCUGACUAAGAAGCCCCGGCUAACUACGUGCCAGCAG
rnacentral:rRNA from 1 species